UACGUAGGGUGCAAGCGUUAAUCGGAAUUACUGGGCGUAAAGCGUGCGCAGGCGGUGAUGUAAGACAGUUGUGAAAUCCCCGGGCUCAACCUGGGAACUGCAUCUGUGACUGCAUCGCUGGAGUGCGGCAGAGGGGGAUGGAAUUCCGCGUGUAGCAGUGAAAUGCGUAGAUAUGCGGAGGAACACCGAUGGCGAAGGCAAUCCCCUGGGCCUGCACUGACGCUCAUGCACGAAGCGUGGGGAGCAAACAGG
rnacentral:rRNA from 1 species